rnacentral:rRNA from 1 species
GACGAACGCUGGCGGCGUGCUUAACACAUGCAAGUCGAACGGAAAGGCCCUGCUCUUGUGGGGUGCUCGAUUGCCGAACGCGUGAGUAAAACGUGUGUAACAUCCCCCUGUCUUUGGGAUAACUUCUGGAAAAUCGGGCGAAUACCGGAUAGGAGCUCCUGCUGCAUGGUGGGGGAUGGUAAGUUUCGGCGGUUGGGGCUGGAAUGGCGGCUUAUCAGCUUGUUUGUGGGGUUGUGGAUUUCCAAGGCUUUGAAGGGUAGCCGGCCUGAGAGGGUGGCCGGCGACAUUGGUCCUGAGAUAGGGCCCAGACUCGAACGGGCGGCAGCGGUGGGAAAUAUUGCACAAUGGGCGGAAGCCUGAUGCAACGACGCCGCGUGCGGGAUGACGGCCUUCGGGUUGUAAACCGCUUUCGCCGGUGACGAGGAGUGAGUGACGGUAAUGAGUAAGGAAGCACCGGCUAACUACGUG